AAAGGAAUUGACGGGGACCCGCACAAGCAGCGGAGCAUGUGGUUUAAUUCGAAGCAACGCGAAGAACCUUACCAGGGCUUGACAUACCGUUGACAGUUUUAGAGAUAGAAUCUUCCUUCGGGACAACGGAUACAGGUGGUGCAUGGUUGUCGUCAGCUCGUGUCGUGAGAUGUUGGGUUAAGUCCCGCAACGAGCGCAACCCUUGCCAAAAGUUGCUAACAUUAAGUUGAGCACUCUAGAGGGACUGCCGAUGAUAAAUCGGAGGAAGGUGGGGAUGACGUCAAAUCAUCAUGCCCUUUAUGUCCUGGGCUACACACGUGCUACAAUGGUCGGUACAAAGAGCAGCGAGAAGGUGACUUUAAGCAAAUCUCAUAAAGCCGAUCCCAGUUCGGAUUGUAGGCUGCAACUCGCCUACAUGAAGUCGGAGUUGCUAGUAAUCGCGAAUCAGAACGUCGCGGUGAAUGCGUUCCCGGGUCUUGUACACACCGCCCGU
rnacentral:rRNA from 1 species